AUUGAACGCUGGCGGCAUGCUUUACACAUGCAAGUCGAACGGUAACAGGCCGCAAGGUGCUGACGAGUGGCGAACGGGUGAGUAAUGCAUCGGAACGUGCCCAGUCGUGGGGGAUAACGCAGCGAAAGCUGCGCUAAUACCGCAUACGAUCUAUGGAUGAAAGCGGGGGACCGUAAGGCCUCGCGCGAUUGGAGCGGCCGAUGUCAGAUUAGGUAGUUGGUGGGGUAAAGGCUCACCAAGCCAACGAUCUGUAGCUGGUCUGAGAGGACGACCAGCCACACUGGAACGGAGACACGGCCCAGACUCCUACGGGAGGCAGCAGUGGGGAAUUUUGGACAAUGGGCGCAAGCCUGAUCCAGCAAUGCCGGGUGCAGGAAGAAGGCCUUCGGGUUGUAAACUGCUUUUGUACGGAACGAAACGGCUCUGGUUAAUACCUGGGGCUAAUGACGGUACCGUAAGAAUAAGCACCGACUAACUACGUGCCAGCCGCCGCCGUAA
rnacentral:rRNA from 1 species